UGAGGAAUAUUGGGCAAUGCCCGCAAGGGUGACCCAGCAACGCCGCGUGGAGGAUGAAUGUCGUAAGAUUGUAAACUCCUGUUAGAGGGGAAGAAUAGUACCGGUUGGACCGGUAUAUGACUGUACCCUCAGAGAAAGCCCCGGCUAACUACGUGCCAGCAGCCGCGGUAAUACGUAGGGGGCAAGCGUUGUCCGGAUUUACUGGGUGUAAAGGGCGCGCAGGCGGGAUAAAAAGUCAGUGGUGAAAUCCUACAGCUUAACUGUAGAACUGCCUUGGAUACUUUUAUUCUUGAGUUCGGGAGAGAGAGACGGAAUUCCAGGUGUAGUGGUGAAAUACGUAGAUAUCUGGAAGAACACCAGUGGCGAAGGCGGUCUCUUGGUCCGACACUGACGCUGAGGCGCGAAAGCGUGGGGAGCAAACA
rnacentral:rRNA from 1 species